UUCAACACUGACCCUCUAAGCUUUCGCUUCUCAUCCCUAACCAAUGCCUCACUAACUCAUUUUAUCUUAAACUAUUAACCACAGAGAUGGCUUGGAAGUAAAGCUAUUUAUGCUACGAUUAGCUAGAAGGGGGAAUGUACAAUUGGCACCCAAGAUGAGAACAGGUUUGAUGUGUAACAGGUAGAACUAGUUGAAGAAACUUACCUGCUGAAGGUCUGCGAGAGAAUAAAGAUGGAUUUGCUGGAGAAGAUACUCUCUGGGAAAAAUCCUGGAAAAGAGAAAAAUGGAUGUGUCACACCUUUUUGUCCAUGGAACUCAAAAGAUUUCCUCUCCUCACCAAAAGACUGCAGAACAAUAAUGCUAGAGAGACAAAGCUUGUCAAAAACUGGAAUUAUGUCAUCCUGUAAACACCAGCGACUUUUACAGCAUUCCUCAUGGGCACAGCAAUUCCACAACAAGAAUGAAUGCUGUACCAGUGUCAUUCUCCAACUGUCAGGAAAUAGCCUGAAUAGCCCAUAAGGCAGAAACUGUCAACGACCGAUAUAGAUGACUAACAUCACGUUUCCCUGCCGCCUUCAAGGACUGCAUUUUAUUUCCUGCAAGUUCUAACCCCUAAUAAAAAGUGUGCAGAUGAAAAGCAAA